CUCACGGACGGUGACAGCGAAACGGAUAACAGUCUUCAGUACCUGCUGGACUUUGAAGCUGUGGAUUCUGGGACUGUUGGAAAAGAGGCAGCGGUGAGAGGGGAGACCUCGGCUCAUCCAGCUGGAGAGCCUGACCAGGACGAGUCGAACAUUAACUCAGCUCUUCCAGGGCACCCUGCAGACUCGGCUGUUGGCAACAACGAGGGAUGACGUGAACGCCAAACAGGAGUCCAUCACAGGUCAACUGCAGCUCCUUGUCUCAGAGUGGGAGGGGUUUGAAGCACAAAGGGAGGAACUUGUCGUUUGGUUGGCUGAUAUGGAUGUCUGCCUGAGUGAGGUUGACCAGCUGACAGGAAACACCAGUGAAAAACUGAAACAACUGCAGGUGUGGGCUUGUUUUGAUAUGACAUAUAUUUGAUAUGAUACAUACGUCAGAGACAUUAUCCUAAACUGGACUAACAAAGGACCAUGAGUACAACAUGAAACGUACAUUACAUAGCGUAAGGCUGAAGUUCAUUGAUCAUUUUAAUCAUAAACUUGUUG
ensembl:lncRNA